rnacentral:lncRNA from 1 species
CAUAACAUUGCAGUGUGAUUAAGAUAAUUUCAUAUGAGUUAAAACUCUUGCAAACUCUCCCUCAUGGAAUAACUUUUACAAAACCAGGGAAUCCUCUUCAUCAUUGGAACUUUUCACGUGGAUGAGCAUUUGCAGAUAUCCUCAGCAUGGUUGAGAACCUUCUCAAAGCACAACAGUUCUGGAGGGUCUCGAGGAAGGAUGUGACAGUGCUCUGCAAGACGUGCAAUCUGCUGGACUGGCUGCCUCCAGGGACCCUGAGACCCUGUCAGGCGUCAGGGUCCCCUACAAGCAGUCGGAGAGCUCGCAGGACUCUGGGCGCACACCAGCUCCCCGAGGAAGGGGCUGCCUUCGGGGAGGGGCAUUACCUGCUUGUUUGCCUGCCUCCUCGAGGUUCACCUUCCUAUAAUCCUGGGCUAUGGCAGCUCUGCUUUGGAGAGAGGGAGUCACAUUCAAAAUCCUGCAGAAAGGGGAUUGCUUUCAAGGUACGUU